rnacentral:rRNA from 1 species
AGCAGCCGCGGUAAUUCCAGCUCCAAUAGCGUAUAUUAAAGUUGUUGCAGUUAAAAAGCUCGUAGUUGAAUUUCGGGAUCAAUAUAUUGGUCAUGCUUAGGUAUGUACUGGUAUUAUUGAUUUCUCCCUUCUGAAGAACCAUAAUGUCAUUAAUUUGAUGUCAUGGGGAAUCAGGACUGUUACUUUGAAAAAAUUAGAGUGUUUAAAGCAGGCUUUCGCUUGAAUACAUUAGCAUGGAAUAAUGAAAUAGGACGUUUGAUUCUAUUUUGUUGGUUUCUAGGAUCGACGUAAUGAUUAAUAGGGAUAGUUGGGGGCAUUAGUAUCCAAUUGUCAGAGGUGAAAUUCUUGGAUUUAUUGAAGACUAACUACUGCGAAAGCAUUUGCCAAGGAUGUUUUCAUUAAUCAAGAACGAAAGUUAGGGGAUCGAAGACGAUCAGAUACCGUCGUAGU